GGGCUCGUAGCUCAGCCUGGCAGAGCACCGGCCUUUUAAGCCGGUCGUCGCGGGUUCAAAUCCCGUCGAGCCCA
rfam:Nanohaloarchaea archaeon SG9, complete genome.